rnacentral:rRNA from 1 species
GUGCCAGCCGCCGCGGUAAUACCAGCCCCGCGAGUGGUCGGGACUCUUGCUGGGCCUAAAGCGCCCGUAGCCGGCCCGGUAAGUCCCUCCUUAAAGCCCCGGGCUCAACCCGGGGAGCGGGGGGAUACUGCCGGGCUAGGGGGCGGGAGAGGCCGGGGGUACCCCAGGGGUAGGGGCGAAAUCCGAUAAUCCCUGGGGGACCACCAGUGGCGAAGGCGCCCGGCUGGAACGCGCCCGACGGUGAGGGGCGAAAGCCGGGGGAGCGAACCGGAUUAGAUACCCGGGUAGUCCCGGCUGUAAACUAUGCGGGCCAGGUGUCGGGCGGGCGUUAGAGCCCGCCCGGUGCCGCAGGGAAGCCGUUAAGCCCGCCGCCUGGGGAGUACGGCCGCAAGGCUGAAACUUAAAGGAAUUGGCGGGGGGGCACACAAGGGGUGGAGCCUGCGGCUCAAUUGGAGUCAACGCCGGGAACCUCUACCGGGGGCGACAGCAGGAUGACGGCCAGGCUAACGACCUUGCCCGACGCGCUGAGGGGAGGUGCAUGGCCGUCGCCAGCUCGUGCUGUGAAGUGUCCUGUUAAGUCAGGCAACGAGCGAGACCCCCGCCCCUAGUUGCGACCCUGCGGGCGACCGCGGGGGCACACUAGGGGGACUGCCGCCGCUAAGGCGGAGGAAGGAGGGGGCCACGGCAGGUCAGCAUGCCCCUAAACCCCCGGGCUGCACGCGGGCUACAAUGGCGGGGACAGCGGGAUCCGACCCCGAAAGGGGGAGGCAAUCCCUGAAACCCCGCCGUAGUUGGGAUCGGGGGCUGAAACUCGCCCCCGUGAACCUGGAAUCCCUAGUAACCGCGCGUCACCAUCGCGUGGUGAAUACGUCCCUGCCCCUUGUACACACCGCCCGUC